AUACGGAGGGGGCUAGCGUUGUUCGGAAUUACUGGGCGUAAAGCGCGCGUAGGCGGACCAGUCAGUCAGGGGUGAAAUCCCGGGGCUCAACCCCGGAACUGCCUUUGAUACUGCUGGUCUUGAGUUCGAGAGAGGUGAGUGGAAUUCCGAGUGUAGAGGUGAAAUUCGUAGAUAUUCGGAGGAACACCAGUGGCGAAGGCGGCUCACUGGCUCGAUACCGACGCUGAGGUGCGAAAGCGUGGGGAGCAAACAGGAUUAGAUACCCUAGUAGUCC
rnacentral:rRNA from 1 species